AAAGCUUUAAGUUAACAAAACUAUUAACCUUCAAAGUUAAAAUUAUAGGUAAUUCUUGUAAGCUUUA
rnacentral:tRNA from 1 species